AGAUGAGCCUAGGUCGGAUUAGCUAGUUGGUGAGGUAAUGGCUCACCAAGGCGACGAUCCGUAACUGGUCUGAGAGGAUGAUCAGUCACACUGGAACUGAGACACGGUCCAGACUCCUACGGGAGGCAGCAGUGGGGAAUAUUGGACAAUGGGCGAAAGCCUGAUCCAGCCAUGCCGCGUGUGUGAAGAAGGUCUUCGGAUUGUAAAGCACUUUAAGUUGGGAGGAAGGGUUGUAGAUUAAUACUCUGCAAUUUUGACGUUACCGACAGAAUAAGCACCGGCUAACUCUGUGCCAGCAGCCGCGGUAAUACAGAGGGUGCAAGCGUUAAUCGGAAUUACUGGGCGUAAAGCGCGCGUAGGUGGUUUGUUAAGUUGGAUGUGAAAUCCCCGGGCUCAACCUGGGAACUGCAUUCAAAACUGACUGACUAGAGUAUGGUAGAGGGUGGUGGAAUUUCCUGUGUAGCGGUGAAAUGCGUAGAUAUAGGAAGGAACACCAGUGGCGAAGGCGACCACCUGGAUUAAUACUGACACUGAGGUGCGAAAGCGUGGGGAGCAAACAGGAUUAGAUACCCUGGUAGUCCACGCCGUAAACGAUGUCAACUAGCCGUUGGAAGCCUUGAGCU
rnacentral:rRNA from 1 species